rnacentral:lncRNA from 1 species
GAAUGAGUGAAUGGGCUGUAGGAAGCUCUGAGGAUGAAGCUUGUGAAGCCACAGGCUGUGGAGUUUGGGGCUUCCUGGGGGUAGAAUUUAGGAGGUCCACAGUGGCUUCUAUCAGCUGUGCUGAGGAGAGAAGAGCCAGGCAAAUUGCCCGCUGCCAGCCUUCUCGGGGAGGAAAGGUAGGCAGCAGCAUCGGUGGGGAUUGCGCUAACUCAAGGUGCCAGCUCCAUGCUGCUCUGGGGCUGGCCAGCGCUCUGGAUGUCAUUAGCUGAUUUGUUCUGCUCUGCAGAAUGUACUUUUCAUAUUUAGGCAGAAAAAAACAGCUUUCGAUCCUUGUGCCCUUUCUUCUGUGAGCUGUAGCACAUGGCCUGCUAAUUAUGAAUUAAUCCUCUAAAGAGCAUGUUCAUUAUUCUAAUUUAAUUGUGCUUCGUUUCAGAAAAUAACUAAACCCAGCGUGGAAUAAACUCCAAUGCUGAUCAGUUUUCAAGAAGUUAACAUAAGACAAAAUUCUGCUAGAGGGCAGCAGCAAUUUGGAAUCAUUAAAGGGAACCCAUGUAAAUAAUAAAAACAAAACUAAAAUGCAGAAUUAAAUUAAGGAAUAGGAAAUUAAAUUUGGGAAUCUAAUCUAAAAUUGAGGCCUUAUAUGCACAGGCUUACCCUGGCUUGGCUCUUCGCUCAGGAGUGCUCAGGAGAGGAGGUUCUGCAGAGUUUCCCACGACCAGGGAAGCGGCAGUCCCUCCUGGGUGGCAGUUUGCUGUUCUGGGAAGAGAGAUGUGGGCUGAAGUGGGAGAAAGGGGGCUUUCCUCCCACGGGGUCAACUGUGAUGAAGAUGAAAGCCACAUUGUCACAGAUGCAUCUGGAUAGCUCAUCCUGAGCCCUGGUGACCGGUUCAGGAGAACUGCCUGCAGCCAAGAGUCCAAGCUGCCACUCACUAGGAGGAAGCACAGGAAAUGAGGCAGAUGGUGCUGGGUGGCUGCUGGCCUGAGAUGCUGGGAGUGGUCAGCCCUGGGCAAAGAAGCCGCGCCAGCCCUCCUUCACCUUUGGGCCCUGGGCACCCUUCCACAGGUGACCCAGCUCAGGACAGAGGCUGAGGGAGUUUCCUCCUGCCCGGGCAGUGGCCCCUAAGCAGGGUCCUGGCCUCCCCACCAUCACCGUGAGAGCCCAGUUACAGAUGGAGGAGACCCGGACUCCAGCAGCAUCAUGACAGGUGGUGAAACUGAGGACAGAGGGUGAUAAGGGCUUGCUCAAGGUCAUACAGCAAGGUGGUGCAAGAGUCAGAACCAACACACAGAUCUUCAGACUCCCAGUUCAAGAGAAUGCGGCAGAGAAAAAGAGGAGAAACUGAAGAAGGGACUAAAUAAGGCAAGGCUGGAUCAGAAAAGAUUGACUCUGAGGACUAAGAGAAACUGAAGCUGGGACCCAGCAGGGUGCUAUUGACCUCCAAGUCCUUUCUCCACAUUCCCCCAUCUGCCCAACUUCCACAGCUCAGGGGUCUUUUCUCCUAGGGUUGAAAUAUGAAUGGCUCUAAAAUUUCCCAGUGAAAACCAUCCAUGAAGUUGUGUGUGGGAAAUGAAAUGCCAGCCCGUGGGUGUCAGCAACUGUGAAGAAAGCGUGGCAUCCACGCUCACCUGGGCUUCCUUUGGUUUGCCUCAUUAAUCAGCUCCCCAGGUCAUCGGCACGUCUCGCCUCAGGCUCACAGGUCUGGUUUUUGUAUAAUACACAUUUCCCCCAGUUUUUAUUUCAUCUGUUUUUUUCAAGCAGCCUUUCCAUUAUUUCUGAACAUUUGAGUUAAAAAAAUGUAAAUUACAGACGCCUGCGGAUUGACGUAAUGUGAAAAGAAGGCGGCUGUUUCCCCUUCCUCCAAACAGGGGACAUGGCUUUUCAAACUAAUAAACCCCU